UACGAAGGGGGCUAGCGUUGCUCGGAAUCACUGGGCGUAAAGGGUGCGUAGGCGGGUCUUUAAGUCAGGGGUGAAAUCCUGGAGCUCAACUCCAGAACUGCCUUUGAUACUGGAGAGCUCGAGUCCGGGAGAGGUGAGUGGAACUGCGAGUGUAGAGGUGAAAUUCGUAGAUAUUCGGAAGAACACCAGUGGCGAAGGCGACUCGCUGGACAAGUAUUGACGCUGAGGUGCGAAAGCGUGGGGAGCAAACAGG
rnacentral:rRNA from 1 species